rnacentral:rRNA from 1 species
GAUGAACGCUGGCGGCGUGCCUAAUACAUGCAAGUCGAGCGAACAGACGAGGAGCUUGCUCCUCUGACGUUAGCGGCGGACGGGUGAGUAACACGUGGAUAACCUACCUAUAAGACUGGGAUAACUUCGGGAAACCGGAGCUAAUACCGGAUAAUAUAUUGAACCGUAUGGUUCAAUAGUGAAAUACGGUUUUGCUGUCACUUAUAGAUGGAUCCGCGCCGCAUUCGCUAGUUGGUAAGGUAACGGCUUACCAAGGCAACGAUGCGUAGCCGACCUGAGAGAGUGAUCGGCCACACUGGAACUGAGACACGGUCCAGACUCCUACGGGAGGCAGCAGUAGGGAAUCUUCCGCAAUGGGCGAAAGCCUGACGGAGCAACGCCGCGUGAGUGAUGAAGGUCUUCGGAUCGUAAAACUCUGUUAUUAGGGAAGAACAAAUGUGUAAGUAACUAUGCACGUCUUGACGGUACCUAAUCAGAAAGCCACGGCUAACUACGUG